GUCAAAUUCACCCCAGAGGAACACUGAUGUAUGCAAAAUGUGUAUCGCUCAUUGAAGAAAUAUAAUCAUCAAAUGUUUAUGCUUAAUCAGUUGUCCCCGUCAAAUUAGGAAAGGUUAUGAAAUAUGAAGCCAAAAAGAAAAGUUAACUAAUAUUUUUUGAAUGAUAAACACUGAAUGGGUGAUCAAAUUGACCCCAAGUAUGACAGGAGGGUUAAACUCGCUACGCAGAUAAGCUACACAAAAACACCACUGUGUAUUGGAACAGGAACAGGAACAGGAAGUGAUACUCUACUGCAGAGUGAACACCAAGUGACCGGGACACAAAAGGGGGACUGACACAAUGAAACACAAAAUCAAGAACUAUAAAUAACAAUUUCAGGGGAACUAGAAAAGAACACAUUCAGGAACAAGAACAUAAAUGAACUUAUACUUUAAAGAAUAAAUAACAAGCCCAAAACCAUAACUCAAAGUACUGGAUCAAAGACCCAGGACCAUGACAGGUUUGUUUAUUAUAAGGUUAUUACACUAAUGUGUUAUUGUGCAGAGCCUGUUGUUACUGCAAUUACUUUAUUUGGAUCGUUUCAAUCUUUUUUCUUUUUAUGAAGUCAGUAUUUCCACAACCAUGAACUGUACAUGAACAUGCCUGUGUCAUUUUUUUAAACUACAUCUGUGUGCUCCUCCUCUGUUCAUAUUUGAUAAAUGGGAGAGGUAGUUCUUGGAAAAAAAGUAAAUAACAUACAUCAGGUUUCUGCAGUUGAGCUCUUGGUGUCAUUUGAGUGUUAUCUUUGAAAGCACAGACAUGGACUGGGAAGAAAUAUGUGAGUCUAUUUUUUUAUAACAGUGUUAUCCCAUUAUGGAUGUGAAUUAUUAUUAUUAUUGUAAAUAAUUUAUUUGGCAUCUUUUUGUAUUUCGUUAACAGGCAGGACAGUCCUGGUGUCUGCAGGUACGCCAUCACAUUAACCACGGCAUAAUUUUGAAAUGAAAAUCUUUAGUAUAUGGUUUUUGUUUUUGUUUUUUUAGGAGCUGGUGGAACUGUGAUUCUGACUCCUGCCAUUCUGGCUUCACUGGGGUUCACUUCAGCUGGAAUAGCAGCAGGCUCCAUCGCUGCCAAACUGAUGUCAUAUUUGGCAAUCGCUAGUGGAGGUGGAGUUGCAGCAGGAGGUCUCGUAGCAACCUUGCAGUCCUGGGGUGCAGCAGGUCUGUCAUGGGCUGCCACUGCAUUAUUUGGCGGUUUUGGUGGAGCAGCAGCUUGGGUGCUCUCAACUGUGUGUAACGUGACUGUGAUUUAUAAAGAUUAA
rnacentral:lncRNA from 1 species